UUGGAGGGCAAGUCUGGUGCCAGCAGCCGCGGUAAUUCCAGCUCCAAUAGCGUAUAUUAAAGUUGUUGCAGUUAAAAAGCUCGUAGUUGAAUUUCGGGAUUAGUACGUCGGUCGUGCCUUCGGUACGUACUGGUGUUACUGGUUCCUACCUUCUGACGAACCAUCAUGUCAUUAAUUUGGUGUGGUGGGGAAUCAGGACUGUUACUUUGAAAAAAUUGAGUGUUUAAAGCAGGCUCGCGCUUGAAUACAUUAGCAUGGAAUAAUGAAA
rnacentral:rRNA from 1 species